rnacentral:rRNA from 1 species
GAUGAACGCUGGCGGCGUGCCUAAUACAUGCAAGUCGAGCGAACAGACGAGGAGCUUGCUCCUCUGACGUUAGCGGCGGACGGGUGAGUAACACGUGGAUAACCUACCUAUAAGACUGGGAUAACUUCGGGAAACCGGAGCUAAUACCGGAUAAUAUAUUGAACCGCAUGGUUCAAUAGUGAAAGACGGUUUUGCUGUCACUUAUAGAUGGAUCCGCGCCGCAUUAGCUAGUUGGUAAGGUAACGGCUUACCAAGGCGACGAUGCGUAGCCGACCUGAGAGGGUGAUCGGCCACACUGGAACUGAGACACGGUCCAGACUCCUACGGGAGGCAGCAGUAGGGAAUCUUCCGCAAUGGGCGAAAGCUUGACGGAGCAACGCCGCGUGAGUGAUGAAGGUCUCGGAUCGUAAAACUCUGUUAUUAGGGAAGAACAAAUGUGUAAGUAACUAUGCACGUCUUGACGGUACCUAAUCAGAAAGCCACGGCUAACUACGUG